ensembl:lncRNA
CACACACACACACACACACACACACACACACACACACACACACACACACACACACACACACACACACACACACACACACAUAGAGACCACAUGUUACAUUAUAUAUUAUAGAUUGUAUUCUGAAUGGGUGACUCUAACCAUACUGUAUUGUGAAUGGGUGACUCUAGCCAUACUGUUUUGUGAAUGGGUGACUCAAGCCAUACUGUAUUGUGAAUGGGUGACUCAAUCUUGCAGCAAUUUAUAUGUUUAGAUAUGUCAAAUACACACACACACACACACACACCAAGCCGGAGGUCUGAGGUCCUCCCUAUAGCUCCCCUACCAAGCCUGAGGUCCUCCCUAUAGCUCCCCUACCAAGCCUGAGGUCUGAGGUCCUCCCUAUAGCUCCCCUACCAAGCCUGAGGUCCUCCCUAUAGCUCCCCUACCAAGCCUGAGGUCUGAGGUCCUCCCUAUAGCUCCCCUACCAAGCCUGAGGUCUGAGGUCCUCCCUAUAGCUCCCCUACCAAGCCUGAGGUCUGAGGCCCUCCCUAUAGCUCUCCUACCAAGCCUGGGAAACACCAAACUGGGGAUGGGGGAGGGGGGAAAGAGAAAGAGGGGUAGCAGCAAGAGAGACAGAGAGAGAGAUGUACAACAGGAAAUGAGCUGGAGCGAAAGGAAUUCCAAACUGCAUUCAAGACAUGAUUUAAAAAGCCCUGAACAACCCAGUAACUUUGAAAGAACAGGGAGAAGAGAGAUGGAGUUUAAAGAGAUAGAG